GCAAGUCGAACGGUCUCGAUUUAUCGGGAUAGUGGCAAACGGGUGAGUAACACGUAAGUAACCUGCCCCAAAGUAGGGAAUAACCCUGAGAAAUCAGGGCUAAUACCUUAUGUGAUGUUGGAGGUAAGGCUCCAUCAUUAAAGCCUUCGGGUGCUUUGGGAGGGGCUUGUGGCCGAUUAGCUAGUUGGUAGAGUAACGGUUUACCAAGGCGGUGAUCGGUAGCUGGUCUGAGAGGAUGAUC
rnacentral:rRNA from 1 species